UACGUAGGGCGCGAGCGUUGUCCGGAUUUAUUGGGCGUAAAGAGCUCGUAGGCGGUUUGUCGCGUCGUCUGUGAAAACCCACGGCUCAACUGUGGGCUUGCAGUCGAUACGGGCAGGCUAGAGUUCGGUAGGGGAGACUGGAAUUCCUGGUGUAGCGGUGAAAUGCGCAGAUAUCAGGAGGAACACCGGUGGCGAAGGCGGAUCUCUGGGCCUGUUCUGACGCUGAGGCGCGAAAGCUAGGGGAGCGAACAGG
rnacentral:rRNA from 1 species